UAGGGAAUAUUGCAAAAUGGGCGAAAGCCCGAUGCAGCAACGCCGCGUGGGCGAUGAAGGCCUUCGGGUCGUAAAGCCCUUUUUGAGGGGAUGAGGAAGGACAGUACCCUCAGAAUAAGCCUCGGCUAACUACGUGCCAGCAGCCGCGGUAAAACGUAGGAGGCGAGCGUUAUCCGGAUUUACUGGGCGUAAAGCGCGUGCAGGCGGAUUGGAGAGUUGGAUGUGAAAGCUCCCGGCUUAACUGGGAGAGGUCGUUCAAUACUUCCAGUCUUGAGUGCAGUAGAGGGAAGUGGAAUUCCGGGUGUAGUGGUGAAAUGCGUAGAUAUCCGGAGGAACUCCAGAGGCGAAGGCGGUGUCCUGACUCUGACCUGACGCUCAGACACGAAAGCAUGGGGAGCGAACG
rnacentral:rRNA from 1 species